rnacentral:tRNA from 1 species
GUUUUAAUAGUUUAAAAAAAACGCCGGUCUUGUAAACCGAAAUUAAGAUAUGCCCCCCCUUUUAAAACU